GGGAGGCGGGGGGCAGGCG
rnacentral:misc_RNA from 1 species